UAAUACGUAGGGUGCGAGCGUUAAUCGGAAUUACUGGGCGUAAAGCGUGCGCAGGCGGUUGAUUAAGACAGGCGUGAAAUCCCCGGGCUUAACCUGGGAACUGCGCUUGUGACUGGUCAGCUAGAGUACGGCAGAGGGGGGUGGAAUUCCACGUGUAGCAGUGAAAUGCGUAGAGAUGUGGAGGAACACCGAUGGCGAAGGCAGCCCCCUGGGCCGAUACUGACGCUCAUGCACGAAAGCGUGGGUAGCAAACAGG
rnacentral:rRNA from 1 species